rnacentral:rRNA from 1 species
GUCACUGCUAUCGGGGUUCGAUUAAGCCAUGCGAGUUGAGAGGGUUUAGACCCUCAGCGGACUGCUCAGUAACACGUGGAUAACCUGCCCUAAGGUGGAGAAUAACCCCGGGAAACUGGGGAUAAUACUCCAUAGAUUAGAGAUACUGGAAUGUUCUCUAGUCGAAAGCUCCGGCGCCUUAGGAUGGAUCUGCGGUCGAUUAGGUUGUUGUUGGGGUAACGGCCCAACAAGCCUGUAAUCGAUACGGGUUGUGGGAGCAAGAGCCCGGAGAUGGAAUCUGAGACACGAUUCCAGGCCCUACGGGGCGCAGCAGGCGCGAAAACUUUACAAUGCAGGAAACUGUGAUAAGGGAACCCCGAGUGCCCGUAUACGCGGGCUGUCCAGGUGUUUAAAACGCAUCUGAAGAAAGGGCCGGGCAAGACCGGUGCCAGCCGCCGCGGUAAUACCGGCGGCUCGAGUGGUGGCCACUUUUAUUGGGCUUAAAGCGUCCGUAGCUGGACCCUUAAGUCUCUUGGGAAAUCCGCCGGCUUAACCGGCGGGCGUCUAAGAGAUAAUGGGGGUCUAGGGACCGGGAGAGGUGAGAGGUACUCCGGGGGUAGGAGUGAAAUCCUGUAAUCCCCGGGGGACCACCUAUGGCGAAGGCAUCUCACCAGAACGGCUCCGACAGUGAGGGACGAAAGCUGGGGGAGCGAACCGGAUUAGAUACCCGGGUAGUCCCAGCCGUAAACUAUGCGCGUUAGGUGUACUGGUGACCACGAGUCACUGGGGUGCCGAAGGGAAACCGUGAAACGUGCCGCCUGGGAAGUACGGUCGCAAGGCUGAAACUUAAAGGAAUUGGCGGGGGAGCACCACAACGGGUGGAGCCUGCGGUUUAAUUGGACUCAACGCCGGAAAUCUCACCGGAUAGGACAGACAUAUGAUAGCCGGGCUGAAGACUCUGCUUGAUGAUCUGAGAGGAGGUGCAUGGCCGUCGUCAGUUCGUACUGUGAAGCAUCCUGUUUAGUCAGG